UUGAACCUGAAAUUCAAGAUUACAUUCAAAAUACUGAUGUUUCCAAUCACAGAAAUAAUUAUCAAAUGUAAAGCUGAUCCAGAAUUAAUUUUGGAUUUGGGCCACCGUCAAAUUCCACAGGUUCUUAUAUCUGCUCCAGAUAGAUCAGGAAAAUGCUCUUGAAGCUUCAGGGCUAUGUAUAUGAACUUUCUUAAGCAAAGGAAAUGAUAAUGUAUAAGAGGAAGUAAAACGAUAAAAUAAAGUCCAGAAUUACAUAAAACAAAACCAAAAACCCAAACAAAAACCUGUGUGCACUUUAUAGACUGUAAGACUUGCUCUGCCAUUGCUGCUUGGGAGAAACAAGGCAAUGCAGGUCUAGUGAAAAUCAUCCAUCAACAAAACCUCUGCUCGAGCACAUCCUUUUUGCAGUUGGUGUUAGUUGAAAGUUAGUGUUUUCUCUCCAUGUUUUUACAUGCUUCAGCACCUCUUGGUUUAAAUAAGGGAGGGGAACACUCAAGUAAUAUCGUAUCUCUGAUUCUGUCAGGAGAAGGAAAUCCUGAAGACCUCACUCCUGAAAGUUUAUCUGAAAUAAGCCCUAUUUGAAGGUUCAUUCAACUUGCCUCAUUGUACAGCUGUUAUUAAUGUGAUUAAAUGACAGUGAGUACAUAUGUAAAAACCCAACCUCUGUUUCUUGUGUCUAUAAAUCUCAAUUCAAUAAAAAAGGAGAAAGGAUUCUUAAAAUCCAAAGAAAUAUCACAUAUAGCUCUUCUGCCUUUAUUUGGUAUGACAGCACUUUAUUUCCUUGAACAGACCAAUGUGGUGAAAAGGAUUCUAAAACAAUACUUCUGUAUAACCUAUCUGCUAAAGCUGCUGUGAAAUUCCAGUUUUGUGUAUUUAACCUCCCUGUUUUUAUCUUCACUGGAAUAAUUCUAAAACAACUUCAGUUGUUCUUCCCUAAAAAUUGUAAUCUCAUUAUUCUUUUUUUCCCCUCCCCUCUUUUUUCUCUUGUACAGUUAUCCAGUAUUCAGGUAAGUAUUUAAACAUGCACUUGAUUCCACCUAAGUCAAUGAGACUCCAACAUGUGCUUAAGUGCCUACUGAAUUAGGGCCUUGAUUUGCAUCACAAACACAUCACCACUGCUCAGGAGCUGUUGGAAGACUCAUCCUCAGAAGCCUGCACUGCAGUACCUCACACAAACUCAGUGGUUUUCCCUGUGCCAUGGGAUGGACUGUAGGGGUGGUCGGGCCAACAACCUGCACUGGGUGCCCCCUCAGCCUUCUGUGGCAUGGGCAGCACCCACCCUGGCCAUGCACCAUUGAGAGGUUCUGGGUGGUCUGAAACAGCACAGCACUGCUAGAGCUCUUCCAGCAUUUAGACAGAUCUUGAGAUUAUGGAGGGUAACAGCCAGGUUAGGUAACCUCUAGAAGUAUGAUCUACAAAUAUUUAACAAGGAAAAACUAAUUAUGCCACUCCUGUCACAGUAAGAACAAGGCUUGGAAACUGUAUGAUCAAUAUGGGAAUUUUAGCUGUAAUGCAGUCUGUCAGCCUUUUAGCCAACCAAAAAGCUUCAGCAACUCUAUAAACAGAAUUGACCCUCUAUCUGCUCAUUCUUGCUUGUUCCAGCAAAUUUUACUGUAUUCAUGUUCCAUGUUAGCAGUUGUCUAUCAUGAGACCUUGUAAAAACAGUAUUAAAGAAACACCUCUUCUAAAACUGAAUUUGUCUCCAAGUACAGAAACUAGAAGCUGUCUACUCAAAGUCGUAGGAAUUUAGCUGAGCCUCAGUUAAAUAAAUACUGUGUUAGAUUCUAAGCAACUCCUAGGAGGUUCUUGAGAACGCAUGUUGUGCUAAGGCUAAAGAAACAAGGCACACAGUUAGGAUAAAUACAUGUAACGUUUUGCUGGCCUGGAUUCAUGUUCCAUCUCUGCAUGACUGCUAGCUUCUAGCUGUCAUUGCGUUGGCUACACAUUCAUAUCUAUAUUUAGAUAGUAGACAUUAUAUUUAAAGCUAAUUGGCUCUCUCCAAAAGAGGAGCCUGUUUGCAGUAACCUGGUGGUAUUUGGGACCAUGAGUCUUGGAUGCACAGAAGACAGAAGUUGGAACCCUUUCUAACUGUAACUACUGACAUCUGACUAUGCCAUAUAGUGCAGGAAAUUGUUUUCUUAUGAGGUGCAUAUGUUUUAAAAGAAGCAACAUGGUCAUGUAUUUUACAUGGGUUAUUAAAUAACUAUAAAUUUAAUGAUUCAGAUGUUUUGCAUUAUAACCUGGCAUCUCAGGAGGCAUGAAAAUAGCACAGUAGGAAAAUGUCAUUGCAUAUUUCAUAGGCAGAGCUGUUAACAAAUGGAAAUCCUUCUAUAACUAAAUAAAAGAUCCAUCUUUAGUCCCCUGUCUGCCUGAACCUUCCACUGGUCUUCAGAUGUGAAUAAACUCUGACUAAAGUGAAAUACUAACAACACUGUUACAAAUGCCAGAAAUGUAAAGAGAA
ensembl:lncRNA